GUGUCAGCCGCCGCGGUAAGACGUAGGGAGCAAGCGUUGUCCGGAUUUACUGGGCGUAAAGAGCGCGUAGGCGGCUCGUUAAGUGUGAAGUGAAAUCUCCAGUGCUCAACACGGAAACUGCUUUACAUACUGGCGAGCUUGAGGAAAGCAGAGAUAACUGGAAUUCCUGGUGUAGCGGUGAAAUGCGUUGAUAUCAGGAGGAACACCCAUGGCGAAGGCAGGUUAUUGGGCUUUAUCUGACGCUGAGGCGCGAAAGCGUGGGUAGCAAACAGGAUUAGAUACCCCGGUAGUCC
rnacentral:rRNA from 1 species